rnacentral:lncRNA from 1 species
CGCAUCGUUACCCGAGCCCAGCGCCGAGCCAAUGUCCUAUCUCAGGGUUUCCCACGUCGCUCGCUCCUUGACGGCUGACCGAGACUGGGUCUGAGGUGUAAGCGCUUUCCAGGCCCUUCCCUGGGGCUUGGAGGGGAAUGGCGCAAAGGACUUUUCUUACAAGCAGACCACUGCAGUUACCAAAGAGUAUGUCGCUUAUUGUCUAAGAGGCUGGACUCCUGAAAGCCUGGACAGUGUCAUCAUCUUCACCUGAAGAGUGGAAAAAUUCAAGCAAAGAGUUUUCUCAGGAAAUGACCAGUAAAACAUCUGGAGUAAGUCAGCAGGAUUCAAAGUGACUCCCCCCAACCACCUGGUGGUGUUUCUCUCUGAAAGCAGCGCUUGGUACCAGUGUGAACUCUCUUCCUUCAGAAGUCUCAUCAGGUGUUUCAGAUGAGUUCUCGGGAAUUUGGACCUCCCACUCUUGGGUUGAAGUGGACGUAAUAUGAGGGUCUGGUCCCCCAUACCUUGAGGACUCUGCUGCCAUCUGACAAUUAGAGACAGUCCAAAACAUGCCACACUUUGAUCCUAAACACAUUCCUGGCUUUGGUCACUUUUGAAAAGUUCCUGAGUUACGAGAAAUCAAUAAUAAGAGUGUUCAAAACCUGAACACUCUUU